rnacentral:rRNA from 1 species
UACGUAGGGGGCAAGCGUUGUCCGGAAUCAUUGGGCGUAAAGAGCGUGUAGGCGGCCAGAUAAGUCCGCUGUGAAAUCUCGAGGCUCAACUUCGAGCUGUCGGUGGAAACUGUCUGGCUAGAGUCCGGAAGAGGAGAAUGGAAUUCCUGGUGUAGCGGUGAAAUGCGCAGAUAUCAGGAAGAACACCCGUGGCGAAGGCGGCUCUCUGGAACGCAACUGACGCUGAGACGCGAAAGCGUGGGGAGCGAACAGG